rnacentral:rRNA from 1 species
GAUGAACGCUGGCGGCGUGCCUAAUACAUGCAAGUCGAGCGAACGGACGAGAAGCUUGCUUCUCUGAUGUUAGCGGCGGACGGGUGAGUAACACGUGGAUAACCUACCUAUAAGACUGGGAUAACUUCGGGAAACCGGAGCUAAUACCGGAUAAUAUUUUGAACCGCAUGGUUCAAAAGUGAAAGACGGUCUUGCUGUCACUUAUAGAUGGAUCCGCGCUGCAUUAGCUAGUUGGUGAGGUAACGGCUUACCAAGGCAACGAUGCAUAGCCGACCUGAGAGGGUGAUCGGCCACACUGGAACUGAGACACGGUCCAGACUCCUACGGGAGGCAGCAGUAGGGAAUCUUCCGCAAUGGGCGAAAGCCUGACGGAGCAACGCCGCGUGAGUGAUGAAGGUCUUCGGAUCGUAAAACCCUGUUAUUAGGGAAGAACAUAUGUGUAAGUAACUGUGCACAUCUUGACGGUACCUAAUCAGAAAGCCACGGCUAACUACGUG